CCAAGAUUUCAGGUAUUAUUUUUCAUCAGAUAUGAGUUAUCCAAAGUAGCUAGAAGAGAUGAUUAGUAAAGGUCUUUAUUGAAUAUGGGUUCAAACCAAGAAAUAUAGCUAUUGAAAUAGCUUUCUUUAAUCUAGUGUUUUCUACUGAGUGGUAAUCUUUUUUAUUUUCCUCUUCACAAUCGCUUUUGGGGACUUACGGUAAUCUGGGAGAAUAUACACUUUCUGCAAACAGAGACCACCCAGGUCUCAGACGGCCUGGGCUUCUAAGGAGUAACUGGGGUUCUCAUUCAUUGGCAUCAAAUCUUGCCUUCCCAUUUGAAAAUGUUGUGGAUGCUUAGGAGUAAAUAAGGACACAAUCCGUUUGAUGGAAACUACCUUUUCCCAGCUUAUAACCAAUGGAUUUAUUCAGUGAAAGUACUCCUGGAGCAUGCUCGGUCUCUGAGCAUUUUAGAAUGUCAUGCAGGCCAACACAAUAAAGAAGAUGGCACAAGAGCAAUUUGCUUUCACAACUUUGUCCUCUGUCAUCUAGGUGUCUGAUUUGCAUUUCUACUGACUAGGCAUUUGCCAGUCACUUUUGAGCCGCUGCUAUAAUCUUGGCAGCCAGG
rnacentral:lncRNA from 1 species